rnacentral:rRNA from 1 species
CCUACGGGUGGCUGCAGUCGAGAAUCUUCGGCAAUGCGCGCAAGCGUGACCGAGCGACGCCGCGUGCGGGAUGAAGGCCUUCGGGUUGUAAACCGCUGUCGUAGGGGAGGAAGUCUAUGGGGGUUCUCCCCCAUAGUUGACCUAUCCUAGGAGGAAGGACGGGCUAAGUUCGUGCCAGCAGCCGCGGUAAUACGAACCGUCCAAACGUUAUUCGGAAUCACUGGGCUUAAAGGGUACGUAGGCGGCCCUGUUAGUCGGGUGUGAAAUCCCUCGGCUCAACCGAGGAAUUGCGCCCGAUACUGCAGGGCUUGAGGGAGACAGAGGUAAGCGGAACUGAUGGUGGAGCGGUGAAAUGCGUUGAUAUCAUCAGGAACACCGGUGGCGAAAGCGGCUUACUGGGUCUCUUCUGACGCUGAGGUACGAAAGCUAGGGGAGCGAAG